CGAUACAUCAAAUUGGUUGUGGAAUGUUUCGAGUCAUAUCACAGCCAUUUUGAUGAGCUUGG
rnacentral:pre_miRNA from 11 species